GGGGGAUGGCUUCCACUCGAUUGAGCUGUUUCUGUAAACAGCUUCGAGCAUUUCGGUUGGAUAAAACAACAAAUACUAUAACAAAGUUCCCCUUUUAUCCACCUAUGGUUGAUUGAAGGUCCGGACUAAGACGAAACCCUCUGAUCGGACGGAGGAAAGCAAGAGAGAAGAGUUUGGAAGCGCCGCAAGUGGUUGGCACAGACGUAG
rnacentral:misc_RNA from 1 species